rnacentral:rRNA from 1 species
UACGUAGGGUGCAAGCGUUGUCCGGAAUUAUUGGGCGUAAAGAGCGUGUAGGCGGUCCGGUAAGUCCGUUGGGAAAGUCAGGGGCUCACCCCUUGAAUGCCGGCGGAUACUGUCGGGCUAGAGUCCGGAAGAGGCGAGUGGAAUUCCCGGUGUAGCGGUGAAAUGCGCAGAUAUCGGGAGGAACACCUAUGGCGAAGGCAGCUCGCUGGGACGGUACUGACGCUGAGACGCGAAAGCGUGGGGAGCAAACAGG